UUUUAGACCUAACUGCAAUGGUGGACACGAAAAGGCCAUUGAGCUGGAUUGUCCUUGUGUGCUUAUUCUUCAUGUGUAUAGGUGACUGGAAUAAGCAUGCAAAAUGUUCUACUAAUUGGGGAGAAUCUUGGUGGCUGUGCAUCUAUUUCUGGAUCAUUGCUUGGGGAGAAUACUGGCUGUCAAUGUGUUUGUUGUCAAGAAAUUGAUAUUUUGGAGAAAACCCAUAAGGCGUAUUGUAUUUAUUGAUGUAUUAGGAAGUUUUUCUGCACUUGGAGUUUUGAUUGCAAUUUGACAAAUGUCUGGAUUGGUAUUCAUUUGAAGCCAAACUUUCUUGUGUUUUUGUAUGUUGUUAGCUACAGUAAAGUGGGUUGUAAGAGAGUAAUUUGUUUUUUUAUUUUUGUUAUUUUUGUGAGAAACAAAUGUGUGGUAUUGUUGAUAAGCAAGAAGAAGUAAUUUGAUACUUUCUGUAAAAGAGUUUGAUGACGAAGUUUAUGCGGAUCAAUGGUAGAACCAACUCCUUUGUAGCAAAUCAUUUAUCCGAGUCUCUACAAUGCUUGGCUAGCACAUUAUGACGUUGGAGAAGUGGCCAACCUUCAGAAUCCUGGGAGGCUCAUAAGGCAGCAAUCCAAGCACUCAUAAAGCUGCCUUCAGGCGAGCUUGUUACAGGUUCAAGUGAUACAACUUUAAAACUUUGGAGAGGAAGCAAAUGUACACAUACUUUUGUUGGGCAUACAGAUCAAAUAUAGGCUGAUGCACUUGUUCUGAGGGGGAUCAGUUGCACAUUUGAGGAAGGGCACAAAAUACGUAUUGUUGGCAGAAUUGGCAGUGGCAAGACCACUCUCAUAGAGAUGAACCUGUUUUGUCCAAUGGAGCUAGCUAGAGGGAAGAUAUAGUAAUGUAUUUAUUGAAACCUGUAGUAUUCCAUGUAAUGCGAGUCUUUUUACGUAACUUUUAAAUUUUAAGUGUUCAUUUUUUUUCUAAUUCAGAAUAAUAUUACAAGGUACAUCAUAAUUUUAGGGUUUUAUUUACUGUGUUUGG